rnacentral:rRNA from 1 species
CAAUAGCGUAUAUUAAAGUUGUUGCGGUUAAAAAGCUCGUAGUUGGAUUUCUGCCGAGGACGACCGGUCCGCCCUCUGGGUGAGCAUCUGGAUCGGCCUGGGCAUCCUCUUGGGGAACGUAGCUGCACUUGACUGUGUGGUGCGGUAUCCAGGACUUUUACUUUGAGGAAAUUAGAGUGUUUCAAGCAGGCUUCCGCCUUGAAUACAUUAGCAUGGAAUAAUAAGAUAGGACCUCGGUUCUAUUUUGUUGGUUUCUAGAGCUGAGGUAAUGAUUAAUAGGGAUAGUUGGGGGCAUUCGUAUUUAACUGUCAGAGGUGAAAUUCUUGGAUUUUUUAAAGACGAACAAUUGCGAAGGCAUCUACCCAGGAUGUUUUUGUUGAUCAAGAACGAAAGUUAGGGGAUUGAAGACGAUUAGAUACCAU